rnacentral:rRNA from 1 species
AGCAGCCGCGGUAAUUCCAGCUCCAAUAGCGUAUAUUAAAGUUGUUGCAGUUAAAAAGCUCGUAGUUGAAUUUCGGGAUCAAUACGUCGGUCGUACCUCGGUACGUACUGACGUCAUUGAUUUCUCCCUUCUGACGAACCAUGAUGCCAUUAACUUGGUGUUAUGGGAAAUCAGGACUGUUACUUUGAAAAAAUUAGAGUGUUUAAAGCAGGCUCACGCUUGAAUACAUUAGCAUGGAAUAAUGAAAUAGGACGUUCGAUCCUAUUUUGUUGGUUUUUAGGAUCAACGUAAUGAUUAAUAGGGAUAGUUGGGGGCAUUAGUAUUCAAUUGUCAGAGGUGAAAUUCUUGGAUUUAUUGAAGACUAACUACUGCGAAAGCAUUUGCCAAGGAUGUUUUCAUUAAUCAAGGACGAAAGUUAGGGGAUCGAAGACGAUCAGAUACCGUCGUAGUCUUAACCAUAAACUAUGCCGACUAGGGAUCGGAUGAUGUUAAUUAUUUAAUGACUCAUUCGGCGCCUUAA